CAGAACGCGUGUUAAAGUUCGUGGUUGUUCCCAUAAAUAAAUAGCCUGACCGAUAGAACAAUUCCAAUUGUGCAAACGUAACGAUUGUGUGUGAAGUGGAUAGUCGGUAGUUAUGGCUGCCUUAUGGCAAGCCACCCCGAUCCACGAUUUUUUGCAUGAAGCUCAUAGAGCAAUAAUGGAGUAGAGAAAGUGUUACAAUGAGUUCGGCCUUUCGUUCACGACCAAGUAUGAGGUGGCAGAACGAGUAUAAUCCUGGCGCGAUGUCGGUAUGGCCUACCAGCCCUGGAGUAGCCGGCAUGUCACCGGUGAGCCAACUUCUGUCCAGGCGGAAGUGUCACGCAGGAGUCGUCGCGGGAUACACUCUACACUGACACCCACACACACUAAUCACAUUAGGUAGACGUAGGUUAAGCUGGAAUUAAAACGUAAGUACUAAAAUACACCAUUUAUUUCAUUUGCAUGUAAAAUUUAUGCUUUUAUUUAACUAUGGAUGAAUUCGAUUCCUCUUCAUGAGUGGUUCCACUGGAUUCGAACCAAUUUUAGGCUGGGUAAGGUACAUGAGAAUAGAGGACCAGUACCACCAGCCCCUCUUUUACCUAAUUUGUCUCCGUCUCAUGCGACCUUCUUUGGGGAAGGUGACAAA